rnacentral:rRNA from 1 species
UUUGAUCCUGGCUCAGAUUGAACGCUGGCGGAAUGCUUUACACAUGCAAGUCGAGCGGCAGCGCGAGGGCAACCUGGCGGCGAGCGCCAAACGGGUGAGUAAUGUAUCGGAACGUAUCCAUAAGUGGGGGACGACCUAGCGAAAGUUAAGCUAAUACCGCAUACGAUCGAGAGAUGAAAGUGGGGGACCGCAAGGCCUCACGCUUUAGGAGCGGCCGAUAUCCGAUUAGCUUGUUGGUGAGGUAAAGGCUUACCAAGGCUAUGAUCGGUAGCUGGUCUGAGAGGAUGAUCAGCCACACUGGGACUGAGACACGGCCCAGACUCCUACGGGAGGCAGCAGUGGGGAAUUUUGGACAAUGGGGGCAACCCUGAUCCAGCCAUUCCGCGUGAGUGAAGAAGGCCUUCUGGUUGUAAAGCUCUUUUGUUCGGGACGAAACGGUUUCACCUAAUACGUGGGACUACUGACGGUACCGGAAGAAUAAGCACCGGCUAACUACGUGCCAGCAGCUGCGGUAAUACGUAGGGUGCAGGCGUUAAUCGGAAUUACUGGGCGUAAAGCGUGCGCAGGCGGUUUCUUAAGUCAGAUGUGAAAG